UUGAAGAGUUUGAUCAUGGCUCAGAUUGAACGCUGGCGGCAGGCCUAACACAUGCAAGUCGAGCGGUAGCACAGAGAGCUUGCUCUCGGGUGACGAGCGGCGGACGGGUGAGUAAUGUCUGGGAAACUGCCUGAUGGAGGGGGAUAACUACUGGAAACGGUAGCUAAUACCGCAUAACGUCGCAAGACCAAAGUGGGGGACCUUCGGGCCUCAUGCCAUCAGAUGUGCCCAGAUGGGAUUAGCUAGUAGGUGGGGUAACGGCUCACCUAGGCGACGAUCCCUAGCUGGUCUGAGAGGAUGACCAGCCACACUGGAACUGAGACACGGUCCAGACUCCUACGGGAGGCAGCAGUGGGGAAUAUUGCACAAUGGGCGCAAGCCUGAUGCAGCCAUGCCGCGUGUGUGAAGAAGGCCUUCGGGUUGUAAAGCACUUUCAGCGGGGAGGAAGGCGGUGAGGUUAAUAACCUCAUCGAUUGACGUUACCCGCAGAAGAAGCACCGGCUAACUCCGUGCCAGCAGCCGCGGUAAUACGGAGGGUGCAAGCGUUAAUCGGAAUUACUGGGCGUAAAGCGCACGCAGGCGGUCUGUCAAGUCGGAUGUGAAAUCCCCGGGCUCAACCUGGGAACUGCAUUCGAAACUGGCAGGCUAGAGUCUUGUAGAGGGGGGUAGAAUUCCAGGUGUAGCGGUGAAAUGCGUAGAGAUCUGGAGGAAUACCGGUGGCGAAGGCGGCCCCCUGGACAAAGACUGACGCUCAGGUGCGAAAGCGUGGGGAGCAAACAGGAUUAGAUACCCUGGUAGUCCACGCUGUAAACGAUGUCGAUUUGGAGGUUGUGCCCUUGAGGCGUGGCUUCCGGAGCUAACGCGUUAAAUCGACCGCCUGGGGAGUACGGCCGCAAGGUUAAAACUCAAAUGAAUUGACGGGGGCCCGCACAAGCGGUGGAGCAUGUGGUUUAAUUCGAUGCAACGCGAAGAACCUUACCUGGUCUUGACAUCCACAGAACUUUCCAGAGAUGGAUUGGUGCCUUCGGGAACUGUGAGACAGGUGCUGCAUGGCUGUCGUCAGCUCGUGUUGUGAAAUGUUGGGUUAAGUCCCGCAACGAGCGCAACCCUUAUCCUUUGUUGCCAGCGGUUAGGCCGGGAACUCAAAGGAGACUGCCAGUGAUAAACUGGAGGAAGGUGGGGAUGACGUCAAGUCAUCAUGGCCCUUACGACCAGGGCUACACACGUGCUACAAUGGCAUAUACAAAGAGAAGCGACCUCGCGAGAGCAAGCGGACCUCAUAAAGUAUGUCGUAGUCCGGAUUGGAGUCUGCAACUCGACUCCAUGAAGUCGGAAUCGCUAGUAAUCGUAGAUCAGAAUGCUACGGUGAAUACGUUCCCGGGCCUUGUACACACCGCCCGUCACACCAUGGGAGUGGGUUGCAAAAGAAGUAGGUAGCUUAACCUUCGGGAGGGCGCUUACCACUUUGUGAUUCAUGACUGGGGUGAAGUCGUAACAAGGUAACCGUAGGGGAACCUGCGGUUGGAUCACCUCCUU
rnacentral:rRNA from 1 species